GAGAGUAAAACAGUACGUGAAAUUGUUGAAAGGGAAACGAUUGAAGUCAGUCAUGCCGGCGUUGGAUUCAGCUUGCUUCGCGGAGCUUGCGCAUUUCCUCGCAUGGCAGGUCAGCGUCAGUUUUGCGCGGCGUGAAAAGGCUCGGGUAAGGUAGCUCUCUUCGGGGAGUGUUAUAGACCUGGGCAAAUGCGCAGCGCGGGACUGAGGAUUGCAGCGGACACCUCUUCGGAGGCGCGGCGACCGAACCCUGCUCGGCCACCCUCGUUCGAUAGCGUGCUAACGGACGCGGGAGCGGCGGUGCACCGGAACAGGCAAGCCAGCGGUUCGCUUAGGAUGCUGACGUAAUGGCUUUAAACGA
rnacentral:rRNA from 1 species